rnacentral:lncRNA from 1 species
AAAUUGGGUCCCAAAUGGGCUAAGAACUCGGAAACAUUGCGUUGAACCACUAAAUGACUUAUAUAGUGUUGUUUGGGAUUAGAAUAUGUUAGAAUACAAUGAAUAUUAUUGAUUAGAAGUGCUAGGGAUGCAUGAAGAGUGUUUAGAAAUGUGUAGAAAUAUUUGCUGAAAUUUGGUACAAAAUGGGCUAAGAACCCAAAACCAUUGCUUUGAAGCAUUAAAUGGCUUGUCUAGUGUUGUUUGGGGAUAUAAUAUGUUACAAUACAAUAACUUUGAUUGAUUACAAGUGCUAGAGAUGCAUG